CAAAAGGUAGUUUAAAUAAAAUAUUAAUUUUGGAGAUUAAUGAUAAAAUUUUUUUUCUUUUGA
rnacentral:tRNA from 1 species